UCCCCCUUAGCUCAGUGGUAGAGUGCGUCACUAGUAACAUGUACAAAAUGACGAGGUCAGUCGUUCAAGUCGGCUAGGGGGAA